ACUCCUGACCUCAAGUGAUCCACCUGCCUCAGCCUCCCAAAGUGGCGGGAUUACAGACGUGAGCCACCGUGCCCGGCCCAUUGUAUUAUUCUCACUCUGAUAAUUGUUAUAUAUGAACAUACGGGACAAACACAUUGGUCCUUUCCUGCCCAUCUUUCUUGUGUUUUCUUCUGCAAAAUCCUGGCUAACUUAUUUACAAUUUAAUAUUCUUCAAGUAAUACCUAGUGAUAUAGUCUAAUACUGAAUUCAAAAGCAUUAUUUAGAUUUUGCGCCUUUUUGGCUUGAAAUUUAAGUUUGCUUGGCCUUGGUAUUUUUGGCCCUGUGCAUUGCUGCCAGUCUUCAAAGAGCCACUUCUCCCUUUGCAGAAGACGCUCUUUCUACUAUCAAGAACCAUGUUGUGGAAAAGCAGAUUCUCUUUUGUACCACCUACAUAUUUCCCAAAGCCUCCUUGUGUUAUCGGCUAAAACUGGCAGCAGAUAUCAUACUUCUACCACCUGUAUGCUUGUGCCCUUCAGCUUCCUUCUUUGUCUUCAUCCCUCUAGAGGGACAGUGACUGUAUCUCCUAAAGACAGCAUUGAUUAUCACAUAUAAUCACAGAAGACAGUGGAAUCUUUCCACACAUUUUAUCCCAGGAAAACCGUUCAUUCCCUUUAGUCUCAUAACAUCGAAAUAUGAACUCAUGAAUGCCUUGGCAGGGAGCCAACUAUACCCUCUCUCCUCUGCCUCUUGGAAAAGAUGAUAAAACUGUUCCAAUGUGACUAUCCUGAAAAUCCUUUUUCUCCUGUAUGGAAUGAGAGGGAGGUUGUCAAUACCCUUAUAGGAAUUCACUAGUCAUCAUCCAUGGAAGUAGAUGAUAUAGAGUACAUUACCCCACCAGUCUAAAAUGUCUUUUAACCUUCUUGAUAUCGGAUUCAAAUUUUCUCUGGUUCUGCAGCAACAUUUUUUUCUUCUAGAUUUCUUGUUGGGUUCUAUUUUUUUUAUUGUCAUUUCGAGUCUUUCAUCCUUCCUAAUAAGCUGAAACCAUAGAAUGACACUCAGCAAGUGUAUUUACCUUCUGCUCAAUAUAGAAGGCUCUCCUGCAUGUGCAGCAUACACAGUGUUGAGGGUCUCAGGCAGCCGGACAAAUGUCACAGAAAAUUCAGCAAUAUCUUCUGUGGUCCUAACUCCCAGACAUCAACAUAUAUUGUUCCCGUCUCAGGUCCCCUUAUAAGGGAUUUCCUGUUCCUUGUUAUAGGUAGACUCCUGUUGCAGGAUUGUGUGUGGUGGUGGUGAUGACGGUCGGUCCCUAGUAAUGCUGCCACUAACCAGUGUUCUGUAUGGGUUAGAUAUGCAUGUUGUACAGACCAUGCACUGAAUUACUGAACUGCCUUGUUUAAAACCAAAGAAGGGCCUACCUGGAAAGGUGACGUUUUCAUUGCCUCUCAUUUUUCUUUACUGCUCAUCCUCCUAACAUCUAGUUAAAUCAAUUGGAAUCUGAUUAGAGGGCUGGGAAGAUGAAUGAGAAGUGGUUGAUUGGAGUACUAAAAACUUUGUGGAUUUGUGUAGACUUGGACCAGGGAGCUAUAGAGUUUGGGGGUACUGGGGACCAAAGGUUUCUGGGUCGAGGCCUGGGUCUUGGGUUCUUUACCCACAGAGGAGGGACAACUCAAGCUCUGAACAGGAGAAAAGGAAAUGAUGCUUCUCCUCACAUCUUCCUUCUGUGAGUUCCUUAUCCACUCGUCUCACUUUUUACUCGCCUCGUAUGUCAUUGUUUUCCAUUUCUUGGGACGAAAGGACAGCCAAAGCAGUGUGGAUUUUACCUCAGCUACAUGAUGACAGACUUGAUUUCUAUGGGCUAGACUUGGAACCAAACUACUAUUAAAGUCUUGUUUCUGUGGAAAAAAUCAUUACAAAUUUGAAAGACAUUUACAAGUUAACUUUUGGAAUUAAAUAAAUUUGUCCCUUGGGGGCUGACUGUACAAGAUUCACUAAGUAUUAAUAAAUAGUAAAAGAUAAAUAUUAGAAUGCUAUAUUUCAAGCGUAUGAUACCUAGUGUUCAAUUAGUAUGUUUUAUUAUCAAACCAGAUAAAUAAAAAGGUUACUUCAUAAAAACAGAGACUAUAAUAUUUUAAAAGUUUUUUUAAAAGCAAAUUUUAUGUAGGCCUUGAAGCCGUGUUGGCCAGGCUGGUCUCAGACUCCCGACCUCAGGUGAUCCACCUGCCUCAGCCUCCCGAAGUGCUGGGAUUACAGGCAUGACCCACAAAGCCUGGCCAAAUGUUCUUUAAUGGGAAUUUGUGUUAAAAUAAAAUUCUCCAUGUAAUAUAUAUAUAUGUAAGUCUGUGUGUAUAUGCAUAUGUAUAUUUCCCAACAGAAUUGCUAAAGUAAAAGUGAUAAGGCAAAGAUGAUAUCUGUUUCCAUAGAAGCAUCUCUCUGAAACGAAACAAAUAAAAAUUAUACUUUGUAUCACUAGUAAAAUUUAACUUGAUUAUCUGAAGACUAAUUAUAUUAACUUAUAUUACCUAAAGUGCAGUUUUUCCCCCACUCUAGUAAUUAGAGGGAUAUUAAUAGCUGUUAUAUUCUAAUACUUGAGAGUCAAAACUGGUAAUGUACCCUCCCUCUGCCCACAAUUUAGCACAUGGCAAAAUAAUGAUACAAGAGACAUUACAAUAUACAGUUGUCAAAAUGUACCUGGAAGCUCUUAGAGGAAUAUUAGAACAACUGGCGACAGGUGAAAUAAAAGAAGUCUCAACUUUCUGAAUUCAGGAGGAUUCAGCAGAAUUUCCUAUAAUGUCACUUUGGGCAUUUAAAAAUGUUUCCCGCAAUUAGAAUAGCAACUACAUGUGGAAUAGAUUCAAAACUGCUUACUAAGUUGUUUGUUAUCUAUUUCCCUUUGGUUUCCUGAGGCCACAGAGACAAGGAAUUGGCCUGAGUUUUCACCUCAAAAACUGAAACACAUUAGCAGUGGCACCUUUUCAGGCGCUCCUGUGUCAUUCCCCGAAAAUCACAGACAUGCAGUCCAGUUAAAAUUGUACUUUGUGGAAACCAAAGGAACGUAGCCCAGGAGCACCUAGGAACUGCUCAUAUGCUUGGAGAAGCUAAAAGACACGCUUACAUGAACCACAGGAAGCCUUCUCUGGCCCUCUGAAAAUAAACACAUCUUUUGCAUAGAUGCGCUCUCGUAGCUGCCAGUGCUCUGCCAGGGAGAAUUGUUAUUUUAAAUGGAGACUCUUUCUGUAUCUGCAGGAAGAAUUUAUAUCCAGUCAGAGAGAACGUAGAGAGCAGUUCUUGUUGCCCGUCACAUUUUAGUGCAGGGAAGUGCUUUGCCCUAAAGGUGCCAGGUAAAGAGAAUUGCCAAGUAAAGAAAAUUUAUUGAAUGCAUUUUCCAAUAGGGAAGCAUAAUCUGACAUUUUUGUUUCUCGGAUCUCAGAAAAAUAACUUUCCUCAGUUCUUAUAUCAAGUAAGAGGACAUGCAAAGGCAAAAACAAAAACAAAAAUACCAUUUGGUCUUAGAACGCAUUCAUGUACAUUUUCUUCUAUUUGAUAAUGUUUUAUUCAUAAUUAUUUCAUAUGCUUUUCUUUUUUCAAAUGUCUGCCUGCAGCACACGUCAGGAUGCUGGAUUUCUUAGCAAAAGCUCUCCUUGGAACCACAUUAUCAUGGGUCCGUAUGAUUAUUCCCUUAGGACUAUCCACUUGAGAGUAACGCAAUGGCCUCCACCUCCCAGCCUUUAGGACCUAAAUGAUGGAGUUAAAGAAUCAAACUUUCUUUUGAAAGCCAGUAGCAGUCCCACGUCCACAUCAGGUUUGAGGGGUGCUCGCCUCCCUGACUGGCUAGUAGCAUUUCUCUUACCUGGAGGAAGGCUAAUUGAAUAAUAUCCUGGGCCAAGCAUGCGUCUCUCCUGAAACAGUCAUAUUCUGCUAUAUCUUUCCGGUUUCUUCCCUUGAUGCUGACUCCUCUUGGAGGCCAAGAAAGAAGCAAACAGGGUUCCCCAAGGUCUCAGAAGAUUAUCUCACACAGAGCUGUUGGAAUUACUUCGUGAUGAUUUCAAAGAAAAUUUUCUUCUCUAAACACUCUUAUCCCAAGACUCUGCAGAAACCCAGCAGCAAUAAGCUUUUAUAGCUUUCUUAUUCUGUCAAUCAGUUCCCAUUUCCAAAUACGAAAAAGGCCAAGGAAGUUUGUCCUCCUUUGAAUUCUCAGCUUCCCAGGUCAUGAAAAUGUCCUUCUCCUCACUGAAAAGCUCACCAAGGAAGUCAAAAUGAAAGAAAGAAGCAGACAGGGCCGAGGCUCCCUGAGAUGCAGAAACUGAGGCACAGAGCAAGGUUAAGUAAAUUGUUCAAGCCAUAUAAGUGAACACUGAAACAUGCCUCCUCUUUCCUGGCUCCACCAAGCAGAGUUUGGGCUUCAAGAAGACUGAAUGCAUCUGUACAGAGCACAAUCCCUUCUCCAAGAAGGAAACCAUGGGGCUUAUCAAGAAAGGGGGCAUACUGUUUAAAGAUCUUGAAUGCUGGGACAGUCCUCUUCUUCUUCACCAGAUCCUGUAUUCCACUUAAUCACCUCCUGCGAAUUCCUAGACAUGAGGAAUCUAGAUGAAGACUUAGUAUUCAGAAUGCAAUGCAAGCACUUAAUAAAUAUAUGUUGAAUUCCUACGAAUAAGGACAGUGUGUUAGCUGUUAGCUAGAGCAUACACUUCAUCUCUUUCUUUCUGGGUGACUUAUCUUGUUGCCUCAAUUUACAAAUUGUAUCAUUCCAUCUGGAAAUGAAAUCUGGCCAGGUUUUAGUGAACUUCCCUCACAGCCUGUGUGUUCAGUCCGAUCAUCACACAUGGUACAUAUUUUUAAAUCACCAGUUAUUCAGCAUUGUGGGUUCCUUGAGGUGUCUCAACUAAGUGAGGUGUGGAAGGGUAAAAUUGUAACUUGGUGUGGUGGAUAUUUAAUAAGUGGUAAACCGCAGCAUUCUCCAUUUGAAAGCUAAUUAAGGCCACUAGCUGACCGUGCUUGUGCAGAAAACAUAUUCAUGGUUUAACCAUGGAAACAGUCAUAACAGCGCUCAGCUAAAAAUAAUAGGCAUAAGAGACAUUUUCACUGAUCACUCUUCAGUGCUUAUUUAUUUAUUUAUGUAUUUAUUUUAAGUAUAAGAGUUGUCACAUUUUUUAGGAAAUACCCAGCAGCACUAGCUCAUUUUGAUACUUCAAAGUUUGACUUGUUCCAUCAUAGAUACUAAUCUGAGGAGUGAUGUUAGGGGACAGCUGCAAGACCAAAUUGUGUUUUUUAAUGCUGUAUGCAGGAAUGUCUCAAAAGAUAAUCAUCCCUUAUGCUCUCUUGUAUCUCUUUCCUUGUUAAUACUGGCCUUUAAUAUGUGAUGUGAUGACUUUUUGUCACAAGAGAAGUUAACCCUCUAACACCUAUUAACUUAUUUUAUCUAAAUUGAGUUUGUGUUUGUUGAAGAGACCUCCUUUACUGACAGAUGAUAUAAUAUGAAUUAUGUUUCUGUGUGCUCAUUGUUUCUUCACAAUAAGAGUACUGUAAUAUAACAAUAUAUUUUAUUGUGCAAUAUAUUACUUUGGCUAAUAGAAUUGAAAAAACACAUCAAAUGUAAAUAUUUUUUCAGUAUCUGGAUGGUGAAGUUAGAUUGUCUUAUCAAAUAUCUUAAUGCUCUUCUGGGAUCCAGCAAUAUUUAGUGUCACUGAAAUAGGGGAUAGCAGAGUAUCAGACAGAUGUGAUGAAAGCAUGACCAAGGUAAAGGGAUCUCAAGGAGGCUGAAAUGAUCUGGGGGCAUUGUUAGGCUAGUUGAUUGCAAGUUGUUUUUAACUGAACAAUAAGAAUUCUGUUUGAAAUCACUUUGGGGAGUGACCACACAGUAAUCUUGGUCCAUGAUCAUUUCAAUUAAUUUUAAGUUAAUUUCAUUUAAUUUGUCUUACUGACAUUGAACCAUAUCGAGACCACAUAUUACAAGAAUUUACUUCCUAUUCUCCCAUUCAUCCACACAGCAAUGGGUCUCUAAGCACAUCUCUGGGAGAAUUUUGAGCUCAAAUGACACUUCAACAUUGGAAGGAUUUGGUAGAGAAAACAAAUUGGUGCAGUGAGACAUGUAUUUUCCACACCUUCCAAGAGCUAGACCUCAUAUCCUACAUAUGCCAUCAUUUAACCAAAUAGAGAUAGGAUCAUGGUCCAAGAGCCAUAGGAAUUCAGAUCUGGGUUUAGAACAUUUUCUUGCUUAACCUGGCCAUAUCUACAGCAGAAUAUGGUAAACAGAACUGACCUAGAACUGUCAUCCCUACAAAUUCUCACUUAUGGCUCUUUUUAGCCUAAGACUAGAUGACAAACAUUGAUCUCUCCUGGUAUCGGUUGAGUUUCUCAGGCUCCAUUUUUCUCACUGACUACUUUAAAUGAAUGCCAUUUUUGCUGGUUUGUUCCUCCUCCUUCCCACUCUCCUUUCAUUUUCGUUAUUUGUUCUAAUUUAAUUUGAAAUGGCCAGCAUCUGACUGUAAUCAGGUAAGGGGACUCAGGAGACUUCCAGCAAGAGCAGGUCUUCUGAAAAGGGUCUUUUGGACACAACAGAAUGAGCCUUUAUUUAUUAUCUCAGGGAUAACAAAAUGGGGAGUGAGCAAGACUGCGCGGCAGCUGUCCUUUCAAGCAGCAGCUAACUUGGUGGAACGCUCCGGUCCCCAGGGUGUGAACAGACCGCCCCUUGGCUGAAAGUCAUCCCGCUGUCCCUGGCUGCUGGUUCUCUAGGCCAACACAAACAAACAUAACAAAACAUGCAGGGAAAGUGUCAACAGAAACCCGUUUUCUAGGAACCUGGCUUUUGGAAAUGAACUGGAUUUGCAGUCCAUACAAAGGCUUGGCAAGGUUUCAUUGGCCAUGGCCACACUCCUCACACUGUGACUCCUAUCCAUCAGGUGGGACGUUUGGCUUAUUAGGCACAUGUGCUCUAUUUCAUCUGAGAUCCUCCAGAGAAAGGCCUUGGUUAUUCCCAUUCCUCCCCAAUAACCAAAUGAAGAUUACUGGGGAGGAACAAACACUGAAAUUUGCAAAGGAUCUCCUGGGUUUAAAUUCUUGUUUUAUAACCUGAGAAAAUCACUCUCUCUAACCCUCAGUUUCUUCAUUAAUAAACUAGGGAUAACAAUAUUUCCUUUAUAAUCAUGGUGACCAAAUAAAAGAGAGAGAUGUGUUAUCAUUGAGAAAAAUAUCACAAUAUUUCGACCAAGGUUAAGUUUGGUGUGGAGAGCCAAUGAAAGCACAGAUGUGAAAAUGCUUGAGAAUUGGAAAAGUACUAUAGACAUAAAAUACAUGAUUAUUGUUAUUAUCUUCAAGGAAUUUAGUCAUUUUUCUCCAUAACAGAAAAAACGUGGUGAUCCUUAUCCCUACAUUUAUGCCUGGAUCUAUCACAUCUAGAAGGUCUUCUGCCUUGCACGGGGAGACAGCCCACACACAUCUGUCCCUUCAUUUCGCAGAAGUGUAGCAGAUAGCUCAGUUACAGACCAGGUAAGACUGCAUUGUCCAGAUACUUUCAUGGCGCAGAACUUACACAUAUACAAUGAUCUUGGGUAUUUAAUAUUCAUGUGUUGUGAGUUCCCAGGAAGAGUUGAGAAAAGGUAAAAAAAAAACCAUGCUAGUCCAUGGUUCAGUUCCUGCAAGAGAAAAGCAUGAUGAAAUGGGAUACUGAGAGCUCUGACCUAUCAGACCUUACCCAAUGUCCAGCUAUAUGAUUUCUUUCAGGAUGUGGAGACAUUGGCUUUUCUAUAGUUAGUUGCCAAAUUAAUUUUUGGUCAAUGCAGAUGCUUUAUCCUGCCACAUACAUCUUCCUAAGAACAUGUGUGUGUAAAGGAGACAACAAGACUCUUUAGGAAGUAGGAAAUAGAGGUAAGUCAGAGAAAGAAAAUAAUGAAAAAGAAUGAUAAAACCUAUAGCUCAGGCAUGUUCGUCUCUUUAUUUCUAGCAUUUAACCCAGGACCUGAUUCUUUGUGGAAUGUUGCACGAUUGAAAAUAAUUGUGGAAGACUGUGACUGUGUCGUCUGUUUUUAAAGUAACACUCCACUCCCUUGAACCUAUACAGAACCUAUUGCAGUACCUUAUACAGGGUGAACACACAAUGCUUUGUGGUACCAGAAGGAACUUACAGCUGGGCGUGGUGGUGUGCCUGUAGUCCCAGCUCCUCAGGAGGCUGAGAAGGGAGGAUGGCUUGAGCCCAGGACU